AUUGAACGCUGGCGGCAUGCUUUACACAUGCAAGUCGAACGGCAGCACGGGGGCAACCCUGGUGGCGAGUGGCGAACGGGUGAGUAACACAUCGGAACGUGCCCAGUUGUGGGGGAUAACCUAUCGAAAGGUAGGCUAAUACCGCAUGAGCUCGGCAAGAGGAAAGCGGGGGACUCAGCGAUGGGCCUCGCGCGACUGGAGCGGCCGAUGUCCGAUUAGCUAGNGGUGGGGUAAAGGCUUACCAAGGCGACGAUCGGUAGCUGGUCUGAGAGGAUGAUCAGCCACACUGGGACUGAGACACGGCCCAGACUCCUACGGGAGGCAGCAGUGGGAAUUUUGGACAAUGGGGCAACCCUGAUCCAGCCAUGCCGCGUGAGUGAAGAAGGCCCUCGGGUUGUAAAGCUCUUUCGGUGGGAACGAAACGGUGGGGUCAAUACCCUCCACUACUGACGGUACUCACAAAAGAAGCACCGGCUAACUACGUGCCAGCAGCCGCCGCCGU
rnacentral:rRNA from 1 species